rnacentral:rRNA from 1 species
AACGAACGCUGGCGGCAUGCCUAACACAUGCAAGUCGAACGAGACCUCCGGGUCUAGUGGCGCACGGGUGCGUAACGCGUGGGAACCUGCCCUUAGGCUCGGAAUUAUACCCCUUAAGGGGUGCUAAUACCGGGUAACGUCCUCUGAUCCAAGAUUUGACGUCCUUGGAUGGGCCCGCGUUGGUUUAGCCAGGUGGUAGGGUAAAAGCCUACCAAGGCUACGCUCGAUAGCUGGGCUGAGAGGCACGGCAGCCACACUGGGACUGGGACCCGGCCGGGACUCUUGCGGGAGGCAGCAGUGGGUAAUACAGGACUAUCGGGUGAGGGCUGAUGGAGCUAUGGUGCGAGAGUGAUGAAGUCGUUAAAGUAGUAAAGCACGUUAACCCGGGAUUAUAAUGACGGUACCGAAAGAAUAAGCUCCGGCUAACUCCGUG